UGCGGACAGAGAGAGAGCGAAGGAGAGAGAGACCAAGAGAGGGUGGGGUUGAGAAAAGGGAUGGUUUGGGCGGGAGGAGUGCAGACACGAGCAAAUAUUGAUGGACAUGUGGCACAGGCGCGCACACACACUAGGGGUAUGAUAUCCCACUUCACAGAGUAGAGAGGCGGGACCACACUUCAAAGGCAGAGGACUGAUCGAAUCACGUGCUGAUGACUCAUCAAACCCCACCCUCUUCUCUGACUAUAAGACUGAAAUGACUGGUAAAUUUAGACUCUCUCCCCCAUAGUGCUAUUUGAGUUUUUUUCAGACUCUACCUAUGGCACACAAACACUGAUGACACAGGACACAAACAUUUGAGGAGGUGGAUUUUCCAUACCUUUGUUCAGUCAACAAUAAGACACAACAAGGUUAGUGCCAUUUAUGUAUGAUGUCACCCACAGUAUAAGCAAGCAUUUUCAAAUGUCAGUAUCACCAGUCAUUGACUUUACAUUGAAGAAUAGGUUGUAAUAUUUGUGAAACACAUUAAGUUUACUUUUACUUUGCCUUCAAUGACUCAACUAAAACAACUGUUGUCAACUGGGUCUCUUUUAGAACUUUAUAGACUGACUGCUGCACUCAUGGUGAGUGAAACCAUCAGGACACUGUGUGCUGGAACCAGUGGUUAGGGCAGUGUACAUACACAUUCCCCUUGGCAAUGCCUACGACUGUUGCGCCCUAUGCUGCCAGAAUAAACAUCAUAGUGAUUGAGACUCUCUCUUUCUGUCCUAAUUUCAUUCUCCGCCCUCAACUUCCAGUUAUUUUUUAUUUCUACAUCUAGUUUUACACCCUCCUACACAUAAACACACAUCUAUAGGGUCUUUGUGUUGGCUGUGUAUAUUAAUAUAAAAAUUAAUUACUACUAUGAAAAUAAAUGCACCGAUGAACAUAGUAGAGGGCAUAUUGUCUCAUCAAUCUAGGCAAACUGUUUCUCUACAGUCUGUUACAUGUAGGAGGACUGUGAAGCACUUUGGUCAGCCGUGUGGCUGUUUUUAAAUGUGCAAUAUAAAUAAAAUUGAACUUGA